GUGACUGGGAAAUGACCUAGUGUAAGGCACCUUAAACUCAGCCUGGCAGGUGACUUUGGCAUUGUUUUGCUGUGUGGGGCUACGUACGAACGUAGGAAGUUCACAGGGGAGAUUUUUCAAGUUUUCCUUUCCUGGAGAGUGAUCUGUAAACAUGCUGUCAAAGCCAAGCAUUUGAUUUUUCUGUUGUCCUCACGGCAACACGCUGAGGAUCAGCUGUGUGCCAUGGCCUUCCCCCCUUCAGAAAACUUGGAGAUUUCAAGGAGGGAAUUGUAAUCCAUUGUUGGAUACCAGUUCUGUCGGGUUUCCUUCUCUGCUGAAAACAGCCGACAGGAAAGUAAUUACAGAAGCAGAUGUGACUUGUGACGUAAAUGUUACUUCUGGCCAUUUUUUGCCUUUUUUUUUUAACUAAUCCAACAGGGUGAUUCCAAAGCAAAAGUCAACUGGUACACGAGACACAUGGGCCUAUGGUGGUAAUUUCAAGCUUUUCCUUGGCUCAGUCAGAUCCAGGGACAAUUUGCAAUACCUUACCAAUCAUUUUUUCAAAUUAAAUUAGUCAGUAAGAGAAAUUUUCAGAGUAGCUUCAAUAUGUGCAUCCUAUGUAACUGCCUGCAAUGAAUCCCACCACUCUGUCCACUAACUUACUGAUGUCUCUGUCCUGAGCAAGAUAUUGAAGUGUUGCUGGUAAUUCCUUUGGAGUAAUAAAUCAGUAAGUAUUUUCCAUCUCA